UGGGGGAUAGGUUAAUGGUAGACCGGCAGACUCUGACUCUGCUUGUGAGGGUUCGACUCCUUCUCCCCCAG
rnacentral:tRNA from 4 species